rnacentral:lncRNA from 1 species
GCAACCACAGUUGCCUUUUGGAGCCUCCCAAACCCUGAACUAACCUCAGUCUCAUCACCUGUGUGGGCAUCUCUGGGAAGAAUACUGCCAAGGUACCUGGAGCAGCCCGGAACGUGUCUGUCAGCGUCAAUUCUGAAAGGAGGAAACACAUUGAAGGACCUCGCUGGAGAGAGAGAAGGGCGAGACAGACUUUGCUUCUCUUUCUUUUCUGCUCAUACAGAUCCUAAAGUUUCCAUCCAUUCGAAACGAAAUAAAAUAUUUAAUCCCCUUAUUACUGAAGCUAGAAGCUUCUCUUUUUUUUUUCUUCUUUUUUUUUUAUUUUUUUUUUUUUUUUUU